UUACACACCGCCCGUCACACCAUGGGAGUUGAUUGCACCAGAAGUAGGUAGCCUAACCGCAAGGGGGCGCUUACCACGGUGUGGUCAAUGACUGGGGUG
rnacentral:rRNA from 1 species